CCCUUAGAUGUCCUGGGCCGCACGCGCGCUACACUGAGUGUCUGAGAUACGAGUCUGCCUGGUCCGGCAAGGUCUAGGUAAUCGCUAAAAGACACAUCAUGCUUGGGAUAGAUUAUUGCAAAUAUUAAUCUUGAACGAGGAAUUCCUAGUAAGCGCAAGUCAACAGCUUGCGUUGAUUUCGUCCCUGCCCUUUGUACACACCGCCCGUCGCUACUACUGAUUGGAUGUUUAAGCGAGGUUCUCGAACUGCUAGCGACUUAGCUUCGGUGAGGUCGCAGUGUGGGAAGUGAACCUAGCUUUGGUGUCUAGAGGAAGUAAAAGUCGUAACA
rnacentral:rRNA from 1 species